rnacentral:rRNA from 1 species
AGGAAAAGAAACCAACAGGGAUUGCCUUAGUAGCGGCGAGUGAAGCGGCAAAAGCUCAAAUUUGAAAUCUGGCUCUUUCAGAGUCCGAGUUGUAAUUUGAAGAAGGUAUCUUUGGGUCUGGCUCUUGUCUAUGUUUCUUGGAACAGAACGUCACAGAGGGUGAGAAUCCCGUGCGAUGAGAUGAUCCAGGCCUAUGUAAAGUUCCUUCGAAGAGUCGAGUUGUUUGGGAAUGCAGCUCUAAGUGGGUGGUAAAUUCCAUCUAAAGCUAAAUAUUGGCGAGAGACCGAUAGCGAACAAGUACAGUGAUGGAAAGAUGAAAAGAACUUUGAAAAGAGAGUGAAAAAGUACGUGAAAUUGUUGAAAGGGAAGGGCUUGAGAUCAGACUUGGUAUUUUGUAUGUUACUUCUUCGGGGGUGGCCUCUACAGUUUAUCGGGCCAGCAUCAGUUUGGGCGGUAGGAGAAUUGCGUUGGAAUGUGGCACGGCUUUGGUUGUGUGUUAUAGCCUUCGUCGAUACUGCCAGCCUAGACUGAGGACUGCGGUUUAUACCUAGGAUGUUGGCAUAAUGAUCUUAAGUCGCCCGUCUUG